rnacentral:lncRNA from 1 species
AUCAAUGUCAUUGCCAGGUUGUUUUGGACCUUAGAUAAUUAUCGAUAUCAUAAUGAACUUCCGCUUCAUGCACAACCAUGACAGAAGAUUGAACAUACAUAAGGUCAGAGGCCAAGUGCUAUGACCACUACUGAACAUACAUAAAAUCAUCGAGAGGACAUUCUGCCUCGCCCAUCUCUUCUUCAGCAUCGCCCAUUGGAGCAUCUGCAAAGGCACUUCCUUGAAUCCAGUUAGGAAUGUUAUCAUCUUCUUCAUCAUCAUCAUCCAUCAUAAC